GAGCCAGCAGGAACCCUGCAGAACCAGCAGAACCCGGAUCAGCGCCGGCCUCUGCAGAACAUCACAGCUACAACUUCACGACUCCAUAAGAAAAACAAACACUUUCUAGAAGUUUCAAUCAAUGCUUCACACAGUUUUCCUCCACAAUUCCAGUCGUCUUUGGAUCCGACCGUCAGCUCCUCAAAGCUCCACGAGCCGACAGGAGUGAGAGGGACUUUCUGUGAAACACAAACUGACAGGAACUCUAAAGGCUCUGCAGCUUCAGUCCUGCUUCAUGGUGGCUCGGAUCAUGACCAGACACGUCGUCUGUCGUCACAGCCUGAAGCACAAGAUAACAUCGGGAGAAUCGCCCGGCGGGACACAUCCGGCCGGCGGGACAGAUCCGGCCGGUGGGACGGAUCCGGCCCCCGGGACAGAUCCGGUCCCCGGGAAACAUCGGGCCCCCGGGACAGAUCCGG